rnacentral:rRNA from 1 species
UACGAAGGGGGCGAGCGUUAUUCGGAAUCACUGGGCGUAAAGCGCCCGUAGGCGGCCUGUCAAGUCGGACGUGAAAGCUCCUGGCUUAACUGGGAGAGGCCGUUCAAAACUGUCAAGCUAGAGUCCGGAAGAGGAGAGUGGAAUUCCUGGUGUAGCGGUGAAAUGCGCAGAUAUCAGGAAGAACACCCGUGGCGAAGGCGGCUCUCUGGGACGGUACUGACGCUGAGACGCGAAAGCGUGGGGAGCGAACAGG